rnacentral:rRNA from 1 species
AGCGUAUAUUAAAGUUGUUGCAGUUAAAAAGCUCGUAGUUGAAUUUCGGGGCCAGUAGGUCGGUCGUGCCACUGGUAUGCACUGGUCUCACUGGUCCCUCCCUCUUGAAGAACCGUGAUGCCAUUAAUUUGGUGUUGCGGGGAAACAGGACUGUUACUUUGAAAAAAUUAGAGUGCUUAAAGCAGGCUUACGCUUGAAUACAUUAGCAUGGAAUAACGAAAUAGGACGAUCGAUUCUAUUUUGUUGGUUUCUAGGAUCGACGUAAUGAUUAAUAGGGAUAGUUGGGGGCAUUAGUAUUCAAUUGUCAGAGGUGAAAUUCUUGGAUUUAUUGAAGACUAACUACUGCGAAAGCAUUUGCCAAGGAUGUUUUCAUUAAUCAAGAACGAAAGUUAGGGGAUCGAAGACGAUCAGAUACCGUCGUAGUCUUAACCAUAAACUAUGCCGACUAGGGAUCGGAUGAAGUUAAUUUUU